CCAAGCCCAGCACCCCAACUCCGGCAGCCCCAAAACCCGGCGACCCGAAGCCCUGCGCCCCCAAUCCCGGAGAAGCGCCCGCGCUGGCGACUUGUUCUGCACCCCGACCCCAUUUCCGGCGUCGCCCUCCACAGCCUCAUCAACGCGCAGGCCGUUCACCUCCGCCAUCGAUGUCCAUUCACCGCUGCCCCUAGGCCGUUCACCUCCGCCACCCCAGGCCGUUCUCCUCCGCCACGUAUGUACGUUCACCGCCGCCCCAAGAAUCCCCGUCGAGCCUCGUCCGCAACCCCGACCCUCUUUGCGGCCACCCAGGUCCACAUUGUGGGGCCAUCGUGUUCUCUUCACCGCCACUCAGGUCCGACGAGCCGCCGCAGGCAGGAUCCUCUACGUGCUAGCCUCGGUGCUGGCCCUACACGAUGGCAUGGCACCGUUCACUGCUGCCACCAUGGGCCGUUCAAUGACACAACAUCGAGUCGUUCGACACCGCAGCUCAGGAGUUUGCCUCCUUUCCCAACCUCCACUAUGCUCCAGCUAAGGUCUCUCAUGUUCUCCUCUCUCCCGUAACCUCUGUCUCUUCUUUCACUUGAAUUCCUGCUAAUGUUAGCUGUAGCUUGAAUUGCUGAAAUAUUAAUGUAUUUACUCUGCUUGAAAAUGCUUGAAAUGCUGUUGGUGCUUCCCUAUGCGUGACGAUUCUGAUUGUUUAGCACAAAAGGGGGACGGGUACUUGUUGUAAUGCUUGACAUCAAUCUACUAUCGGCAGUUAGAGAAAGAAUAGUAGCAAGUCCAAGCUCUCUUUGAGUGGAGGUACAUAACCAAUUCAAAUGCUUGUUUUGAUUAUGUUUAAGGGAACUCAUAAUUUUUAUCUUUGUCCACUGUUAGCUAUGUAAAACAACUCAAUAAAAGUUCACUUUUCAAUGCUUUAAAUAGUUCAAUUGGUAAAAACAGUAGGUGUUCAUUCUACAAAAAAGCACUGACUUUUAUAUUUGUAAAGAAAGAAAUGGAAAUCUGUAAGUUCAUACAGGGACAUAUAUAUGCUGAACCUGCGUCCAGCACACGAGCAUUUGCGUCCACCACUAAGGGGCAUUUGCAUCCCGCACAUCAGCUACAUGCUCAACAGUUGCACACUGCCGCCAUGGACAUGCACAAAUGAUAUUAAGUAGAAGUUUGUUAGUUCAAUUUUUUUAUUGAUUUACCUUGUUUAAGUAGUAGUGCAGCAAUAAAAGGUGUAGUUGUACUGAGUUUUAGUUGCUAUAUGGGGAACCCAGUGGCCAUUUAUUUUGGUUUACAGUUCAGCUUCUCUAUUCUUUUCAGUCCGUAUGCUUUAUUGUGCAUAAUCUUGAGGAAAUCCCCAAAAAUCAUGUGUGCACUCAAGGUAAUUAAGUGGCUUUGUAAAUUCUGACAGUCCAUCCCAGACUGAGCAAAACAGUACAUGUUAGUCUUGGUUUGUGGUUGGACAUGCAAUCUGGUUUCAUAGAUUCUUCUGCUCAAACUGGAAAUACCUAGUUUUAGGUAAUCCUACUAGUUCAGUGCUAGUACUUCUAUUUUAUGUUUAUCUUACAAGUGGAAAAUGUUGAGGCUGGUCAUGUUGCCAAUUUUUCAUAGGAUUUCUAAGUAGCCUGAGACCCAUCCUGUCCUCUAUACAGAUUCAGAGUUUAACACGUCAAUGGAAGUUUGUUCUCAAAACUGAAAUUGUUCUGCAUGUACUGAUAGAUUAGUUGUUAAUUAUUGGAGUGUUUCGUUCUUGCAGAAUAAAAAUAUGAUGUAUGCAUUGCUUCUUGGCCCAGCCGAGAGAACACUCGUGUUAAAAAGUAUAAAGCAGUUUUGAAGCAAUUCUCAGUGUCUUUAGAAGCAUUCAUGGUUAAAAAGCAACGACAACCUCCGUUCGAGUUGAGAAAUGGUCAUCGUCCAAGUUGAGCAGUAGGUGUCGUCCAAGUUCAAAGAGGGUUGUAUGCAAGUACAAAAGUUUGUUUCAGUGAGAAAAAAUGCGGGGUUUUGACAAUAUUCUGUAUGAUUCAUUUGUUCAUCCUUAGAACUUGGCAAAUUUCAGUCUAUUUUUCUAUGAUGGAGGCACACAUGAAGUCCUGUGCAAUGGUUAUCCCCCUUGUGCUUCUAAGAUUCGUAUUUUGUUUCUUCAAAUGUGUUGUGCGCCUGUUUGAUGAGGUAAAACAAAGUAAAAAUGUGAAAAUGUCAUUAAAUACACUUACAAAUGUAAAAAAUAAAUAAGUUCUGAUUCUCGUCAGGUAGGAAGUUUUGGAGAAGAAAACAUAAGUUUUUAAAAGAAGGAAUGGUAAAAUUGUAAGUCCGUUCAACUAUAUAAACCAUAAAGAUACGAUGGUGAUGACAUUGACAGUAAGGAUAAGGAUGAUAAAGAAAAUUGAAAACUAAAACUAAAAGAACAUCGAGUGAUUAUUUUUUUGAAAAGUACAAACUCUCUAGUACCAUCAGUACCAUAAAUAAAAAAUUAAGAAUCGGAAAAUUCAAAUGGGAAAAGUUCAAGACGCAAAACGCGAGAAGUCAAAAACAUCGUUGAAAAAAACUUAAUUCUCCUGUCUAUGGAUUGUUCAAGCUCUUAAUUCUCCUGUCUAUGGAUUGUUCAAGCUCUUCCAUCAUUACUAAAAAUGUGUCACUAGCAUAUAAGUUCAAAACACAAACUUUUUUUGGGAAGAACUUCAGUCAGUGAAACUAUAUAAACUAUGCAAGUUCAGUGAUGAUGACACCGUCAAUUCAGAUGAGAAAACACAUUUAAAAUUACAAUAUUUUUUAUUUUACUUCUAUAAGUUCAUGAUCAACCCCGAGGUAGUUCAAAUAAUCUAGUCAUAUAAGUCGAAAUAAUCUAUUCACUUGUAUUAUUUUGUGCUCACACUAUUUACUAUGUUGUGUGACAGGUUGAUGAAGAUGUUGAUUUUACAAAAGGAUCAGUGAAGCAUUGGGCAGUGGACACACUAUCUUCAUACAUGGAGCAGUGACCGCUCAACACUUUCUUUUGUGAUAAAUGUUAUUAUGAUCUAUUCUAUGUAUUAUAUUGUAUGAUCGGGGGAACUCAGAAGUUCAUGUGUUGUCCGUGGAAAAUUUCAAAACAUUUUGUUUAGUAAGAACUUUUUUUAUCAAAUGAUAAACCUAUGUUAAUGGAAAACAGUAGUUGAGACGAGAGAAGUCCAAAACAUCGUUGCAAAAAGAAACACAUGAUUUUUUUUCUCUUAUCUUUAUGAGAAAAUAUCAUUCAGCUCAAUAGUAUAUACAAUGCAAGUUCGAGGACUAUGACAUCGUAAACCGAGG
rnacentral:lncRNA from 1 species